rnacentral:rRNA from 1 species
GAUGAACGCUAGCUACAGGCUUAACACAUGCAAGUCGAGGGGAAACGAUAGAGAAAGCUUGCUUUUUCUAGGCGUCGACCGGCGCACGGGUGAGUAACGCGUAUCCAACCUUCCGUUUACUCAGGGAUAGCCUUUCGAAAGAAAGAUUAAUACCUGAUAGUAUGGUGAGAUUGCAUGAUAGCACCAUUAAAGAUUUAUUGGUAAACGAUGGGGAUGCGUUCCAUUAGGUAGUAGGCGGGGUAACGGCCCACCUAGCCUGCGAUGGAUAGGGGUUCUGAGAGGAAGGUCCCCCACAUUGGAACUGAGACACGGUCCAAACUCCUACGGGAGGCAGCAGUGAGGAAUAUUGGUCAAUGGGCGAGAGCCUGAACCAGCCAAGUAGCGUGAAGGAUGAAGGUCCUACGGAUUGUAAACUUCUUUUAUACGGGAAUAAAGUUUCCUACGUGUAGGAUUUUGUAUGUACCGUAUGAAUAAGCAUCGGCUAACUCCGUG